UAUCAGCUUUGGAUGGUAGUGUAUUGGACUACCAUGGCAAUCACGGGUAACGGAGAAUUAGGGUUCGAUUCCGGAGAGGGAGCCUGAGAAACGGCUACCACAUCUACGGAAGGCAGCAGGAGCGAAAAUUGCCCAAUCCCGACACGGGGAGGCAGUGACGAGAAAUAACAACUCUUGGUUAUUCUAAGAAGUGUAAUGAGGAUAAUUUAAAACCCUUACCGAAAGCAAUUGGAGGGCAAGUCUGGUGCCAGCAGCCGCGGUAAUUCCAGCUCCAAUAGCGUAUAUUAAAGUUGUUGCAGUUAAAAAGCUCGUAGUUGAAGUUCUGGCUGCUUGACCCUCGAGCUCUGUAGCCGAGGGCUCAGCAGUCAUCCGCUUGCAAAUAUAUGUUCGCCUUUAACCGGGCGGCUAUAUGAGUAAGCAUUUUACCUUGAGAAAAACAGAGUGUUCCAGGCAGGUUUGUCCGGAAUGCAUUAGCAUGGAAUAAUAGAAUAUGACUGAAGUCGAUUUAUUGGUUUGAGGCUUUAGUAAUGAUUAAUAGGAACAGUCGGGGGCAUUGGUACUUGUCAGUCAGAGGUGAAAUUCUAGGAUUUGACAAAGACUAACAAAUGCGAAAGCAUUUGCCAAGGAUGUUUUCAUUAAUCAAGAACGAAAGUUAGGGGAUCAAAGACGACCAGAUACCGUCCUAGUCUUAACUAUAAACUAUACCGACUCGGAUUCAGAUGAAUCAUAAAGUUCAUUUGGGACCGUAGGAGAAAUCAAAGUUUUUGGGUUCUGGGGGAAGUAUGGUCGCAAGGCUGAAACUUAAAGGAAUUGACGGUUUUGCACCACCAUGGAGUGGAGUCUGCGGCUUAAUUUGACCCAACACUGGGAAACUCAUCAGGGCAAGAAGAUUGUAGGAUUGACAGAUUGAGAGUUCUUUCUUGAUUGGUCUAGUGGUGGUGCAUGGCCGUUCUUAGUUGGUGGAGUGAUUUGUCAGGUUAAUUCCGUUAACGAACGAGACCUUAACCUGCUAACUAGUACACCGAUGACAAAUCGGUGAUACUUCUUAGAGGGACUAUGUGAUGUAAUCACAUGGAAGUUUGAGGCAAUAACAGGUCUGUGAUGCCCUUAGAUGUCCUGAGCUGCACGCGUACUACAAUGGUGCUUUCAUCGAGCUUUUCCUGAUCCGAAAGGAUUUGGGUAAUCUUUUUAGUGAGCACCGUGCUUGGGAUAGAUCUUUGUAAUUAUGGAUCUUGAACUAGGAAUUCCUAGUAAGCACGUGUCAUCAGCACGU
rnacentral:rRNA from 1 species